ACAGCGAGGACAAAAGCUGAAGCAGGUGCCAGGAGCCAAGCUGAGAACACAAGCACAGUAGCACCUGUAGCUGGGCUCAAUUAAAAAAAAAAAAAAAAAAAAGGGGGUGGGCAUGACUCGUGUGAUAAUUGCUAAUUAGCUCUUGUUUGUAGAGAGUUUGUGGCUUGGGCAGAGACAAGCAGGGAGAACUCUGAACUGGUUUUGCCAAGCUAGCACUCUGCUUGCAAGAAUACAGCUCAUCUCCCUUUUUUAUUAUUAUGGCUGCGUUCUGCCCACUUCAAGAGUUCUGGUAUUUUCUCAAAGGCUUUUCUUUGAAGCACUGCAGCCCCUGAAACAACUUCUUUAAAAAUUCCAAAGCAGGUACAUGAUUACUCCUUUCAAGAUGGAAACUGCUACAAAGCACUCUCAGAGUGCAAACAUCCAUCAGCCUCUCUGAAAGAACCGAGUUGUAGAUGUUCUCAGCCAUGCAUCACCACUCUGCAGUCAAAGGUUCCUGAUAGAAUUGAGUGCCUGGAAGACCAAGUUACCUAUGCAGCAAAUGCAAACAGUUCUGAGGGACAGCCCCUGGGCUGUGGCUCAGGAGGGAGGCUUGGAUCCACUGAAGUAUGGUGUGCUUCUGGUUUGGGGUUGGGAGCAACAGGACAUGGGCAGCCAAAGAGGAGCAAAGGCAGUUUCACACAACACGUAUCCUGAAUGGCCACCACUGUUGGAGGUUAGGAGAUGAAACAACCUGAUUCACAGGCUUUACAAUAAACUCCAUCUUCUGUGUAAGUCCUGUUUUGU